CAAAAUCCAAAGUUUUUCCUCACUUAGUAUAAUAUUGUUGUACUCUUUGUCAUACCUUUAUCUUUCUCUGUCUCAUUUUUAACACAAUAACUCAAAAUACUCAUUAAAAUUGUGCAAAAAGCACAAAAAUUACCAAAAAUCUAUAACUCUUAAAAGCCAAAUUGGUGAAAAAAUGGGUAUCUUCUUAUGAACAGUGUGCUGACGGUUCUACCCUAGAUUACUAAAAAAAAGUUUAUUGACGUCUUUACCCUUUUACUGGCAGGUUACUUUUGUUUUCUUUGAAUCAAUCUUUUUCUCUACUUACUUGCUUUCUCUCUCCUCACCUUUCUCCAUGUUCUCUGAUAACACAACAACUUCCUCGCCUCCUCCGACCUCAUCUCCCUGGCGACGACUGCACUUGGUGGACAAUUACAAUGCUGCUUGUUCUUGUUGAUUGAAUCUGUUUUUGAAGCGGGUUUUAGGUUUUCACUCCUCCAUAGAAAUAGCUUUUGAGGAUUCCGUUCCUCCAUUAAAGCAAAUUAUGAGCUUUCCCAUUUAUUGAAGCAGCUUACAAGGCUGAAAGAGGAGGAGAUCUAGAAGAAUAUGGACGCUCGUGAGUUUCUUCAAACUCAGAGGAGGCUAACUGCUUCAUCCAGUUUUUCUUCGCGUAGUUGGGCUGCGUAUGUUUUUCAAUAUUGGAAUAGAUUAAUUUCCAAGUCGAGUUGGGUUUCUAGGUCUUGGAAUCAUGGGUUCUCCAAUGGCCCGAAAUCUCAUUACGGCCAGGUGAGAAUUGUAUGAACUAUUCCUGUACAAUUUUUUCAGGGUAGAAUGAAGUAUUUUGUCCCAUAGCUCGAGUUUUGAGAUAAAAAUGAUGGAUUUUAUUCUCAAGUAUAUAGUUAUUUUGAAAUGAAAACUAUGUUUUUGUUGGUUGGCCUCCUUUAGAUCAUUCCAAAAAGACACGUUGGCCACCACUUCGAAGAACACUAAUCCGCUUUUUGUCAAGGUUAGCAUGGAUGGUGCUCCCUGAUUAAAGAAGGUUGAUCUCAGAACUUAUACCUUAAAUGAAGAACAUCCCUCUAGCCUUGAGAAGAUAUUUAGUUGCUUCACACUAGGUUAUUUUCUGUUACUUGUAAUAAUGAUCCUUAUAGCUUUGCUACUGCGAUUUAAAUUUACCUAUGAAUUAGUUUCUUUACACAUUCAUUAUCUCUAAAUGGUUUUUGGUUUUAUGGUGUUAUUAACUAAAUUGGAUGAUGUUUUGCCUAGGAAGACAUUGUUUUAUAUUGUGCUAUUCUUCCCUUCAUUGCCUUCUUUGGGGAUUUUGGGUUUGUUUUGUAUCCUAUGAGAAAUUAUUUCCACCCCACUGCUCUUGCUGAUAAGCAUCUGAGUUUUGGCCGUGCUCGGAUUGAGGUUUCUCGGUCCACUUGCUAUUCUGAGGAUAUGGAGUUUCUGUUUGUUUUAUGUCAUGGCUGAGCUAUGGGGGAGUGUUGUCAUAUGUGCACUUUUGGGGUUUUGCCAAUCAAGUGAUUAUUUCAUUAUUCCAUUGAAUUGUUAUUAUUAUAGUUUAAUUAAUUACUUACAUGUAUGCCUAUUAUGUAUAUUCUAAUUCUAAUGUUUAUGUUUUUUCAUUUUGGGUGUACUAGAAUGAUCGUAGUAUUUAUUUUAUUUUACUCCUUGUUGUUUUAUACUAUUUUUGUGCAUAGAUGAAUUUGGAAUGGAAUUUAGUAGAUUUUAAGAAUGAGAUCUAUUUGUUUGGUUGAUAUUAUAAUUUGGUAUUCCAUCAUUUGUUUAUAAACAAGUGAGUUGUUUGGGAUAUGUAUUCUUGAUUUAUUAUAGAAAUCAACAAUUUUUGUAGGGGUGGGGUGAGUAAUUUAUUUAAGGGUGGGUUAAUUGUAUAUGAUUUUUAAGAUUGGUCAAAUUAUUUACUAAUGAGCAAACUAUUUAGAAGUGGACAAUUUAUUAGGGGUGAGUUAAUUUGCAUAUGAUUUUUAAGGGUAAAUAAAUUAUUAAGGAGUAAGGUAAUUGUAUAUGAUUCUUAGAGGUGAGAAAAUUUUAUAGGGGUGAAUAAUUAAUUUAGGGAUGAGCAAAUUCUUUAGGGGUGAUAAAACUAUUUAGGGGUGAAACUGUUCGUGCACUGUGAUCCAAUCCAAGCAAUGAUAUUAACUUUUCAAAUUUUCUUUACUCCAUAUCAACAUGAGUGUCAAUGCUUAUCAAUUGUUUGUGAUCUAAAUAAUUGUUAACAUUAAUAUAUUCCAUAUGAAAUAAUUAUAACUUACACACGCAUUUUCAAUAAUUUAUAUUUCAUAGAACUACAAAUUCUACAAAAACUAAACCAAAUUGAUUAUUUUUACGAUUCACUAAUGGUUCUUAAAUUAUAUUAACAAAACGGUGCGCAAAAUUCUACAAACCUUUUUGACAGGUCUGGGUGUAUUUCUUUUUCAUUUCAUCUUUUGCCUCCCAGUGGCUUCCUCAUAUUCUUGGUUAGAUCACAAUACUUUCACAAUCUUGACAUUCUUAUCGCGUGUACUACUCACUUUACUGUCAAGGAUUUUGACAGGUCUCUCUUCAUAAGUUAAACUUUUGUCUAUCUCAAUGGUUUGAGGUUGUAGUGCAUGGGAUUUAUCGGAUAUAUACCUUCUUAAUUGAGACACUACAUGAAAUACAUCAUGCACUUUGCUUAGCUCCAUAGGUAAGGCCAACCCAUAAGCUACUUUGCCUAUUCUUUACAGUAUAUCAUAUGGACCAAUGUAAUUUGGGCUCAGUUUUCCUUUCUUUCAAAAUCUCAUUACACUUUUCAUUGUGAUACUUUUAAUAAUACUUUGUCACCAACAUCAAAUUCUUCCUCUCUACGGUUCAAUUCUGCGUAGCUCUUUUGGCGAUCUUGAGCUGCCUGAAUCUUAGUUUGAAUUCCCUUAACUUGUUUCACUGUAUCUUCGAUCAUUUGAGGCCCUAGAAUCAUUGUCUCACUUAUAUCGUUCCAACAAAUUAGACUACGACACUUUCUCCCAUAUAAUGCCUCAAAUGGAGCCAUUCCAAUGCUCGCAUGGUAACUAUUAUUGUAAUAAAUUUCAAUAAAUCCAAGCUAUCCUCCCAUCCUCCUUGGAUGUCUAUAACACAAGCUCUCAACAUGUCUUCCAAGGUUUGAAUGGUUCUCUCAGUUUGUCCAUCUGUGGUAGGGUGAAACAAUGUACUCAUCUUUAGUGUGGUACCAAAAUUUUCUUUCACGCUUUUCUAGAAUUCUGAAAGAAAUCUGGAAUCUCUAUUAGACACAAUAUCCUUUGGAACUCCGUGUAAUCUCACAACAUUCUUAAUGUAAGCUUUUGCAAGUUGUCCCAUCUUCCAAGUCUCCUUCAUUGAUAUAAACACCGUAGAUUUUGUAAGUCUGUCAACCACUAACCAAAUGGUGUCAUUUCCAUUCCUUGAUUUUGGAAGGAAGUCACAAAAUCCAUUGAAAUAAAAUCCCACUUCCAUCCAAGGAUUUCCAAUUAUUGCAUAGUCCCUGUGGCCUCUUGAGCUAAGUGAGGAAACUAUUAGACACAUAUCACCGAUUACUGAUGGUUUAAAUUCUUCCAGUACAAAGGAGGAUUCUAAAAUUGAUUAGAGUGGAUAAGGGAAUGAAGCUGAUUCAAUAUAGGGUACCUCAAAUUAAAUGAAUGGAUUUUGUUUUGUGUUCAUCUGAACACUUUAUCUUACGUAGAAAACUUGUUGUCAGCAGACACAAAACACAGACAAACAUAUAGAGCUACAAGGGUGCUGGAAAUCAGAACUCUAUGCAUUGUUCUUGAAGUUGGCCUGGGAUGGUUGCAGCUACUGCUACCCUGCCGAGACUGCUGUAGCAGCUAGGAUGGCAAGGUACAGUUAUUGUUGCCCUGCCGAGACUAGUACAAUAAAAUAGCACAAUAAUCAAAUGUGAAAAUUAAUGCAUGCUUAUAUUAACAUAAGCUAACCAACAUACUUUCUUACCGUAAUAAAACUAUAAACUUCAUCGAUGACUUCUUUUGGAAGUUUUCCCCAGUGACUAUAAUUGAUACUUACUCGUUGGCGAGCAACUACGACGAUGUAAGUAGCAAAGGCAGCUUUAUGAUCCCCACAAGGCAAUUUCCUAUGAUUGCAUUGUAAGGGGAUUUUGGUGCCAUUUUAUAUUGCUUUUCCAACUACCGUACAAACUGUACGACCCCUGCGAUUCUCACGUUCAGCGGUCUCUUGAGAGGAACUUAUUUGCUUUCUCUUUUUUGCAAUC